AACGAACGCUGGCGGCAGGCCUAACACAUGCAAGUCGAACGGGCGUAGCAAUACGUCAGUGGCAGACGGGUGAGUAACACGUGGGAACCUUCCUCGUAGUACGGAACAACUCAGGGAAACUUGAGCUAAUACCGUAUACGUCCGAGAGGAGAAAGAUUUAUCGCUAUGAGACGGGCCCGCGUCCGAUUAGCUAGUUGGUGGGGUAACGGCCUACCAAGGCAACGAUCGGUAGCUGAUCUGAGAGGGCGCACGGACACACUGGAACUGAAACACGGUC
rnacentral:rRNA from 1 species